rnacentral:rRNA from 1 species
CCUACGGGCGGCAGCAGUGAGGAAUAUUGGUCAAUGGACGAGAGUCUGAACCAGCCAAGUAGCGUGAAGGAUGACUGCCCUAUGGGUUGUAAACUUCUUUUAUAUGGGAAUAAAAUGUUCCACGUGUGGGAUUUUGUAUGUACCAUAUGAAUAAGGAUCGGCUAACUCCGUGCCAGCAGCCGCGGUAAUACGGAGGAUCCGAGCGUUAUCCGGAUUUAUUGGGUUUAAAGGGAGCGUAGGUGGAUUGUUAAGUCAGUUGUGAAAGUUUGCGGCUAAACCGUAAAAUUGCAGUUGAAACUGGCAGUCUUGAGUACAGUAGAGGUGGGCGGAAUUCGUGGUGUAGCGGUGAAAUGCUUAGAUAUCACGAAGAACUCCGAUUGCGAAGGCAGUUCACUGGACUGCAACUGACACUGAGGCUCGAAAGUGUGGGUAUCAAACAGGAUUAGAUACCCCUGUAGUC